AGCGAACGCUGGCGGCAGGCCUAACGCAUGCAAGUCGAACGAACUCUUCGGAGUUAGUGGCGGACGGGUGAGUAACACGUUGGAACGUGCCUUUUGGUUCGGAAUAACUCAGGGAAACUUGUGCUAAUACCGAAUGUGCCCUUCGGGGGAAAGAUUUAUCGCCAUUAGAGCGGCCCGCGUCUGAUUAGCUAGUUGGUGAGGUAACGGCUCACCAAGGCGACGAUCAGUAGCUGGUCUGAGAGGAUGACCAGCCACACUGGGACUGAGACACGGCCCAGACUCCUACGGGAGGCAGCAGUGGGGAAUCUUGCGCAAUGGGCGAAAGCCUGACGCAGCCAUGCCGCGUGAAUGAUGAAGGUCUUAGGAUUGUAAAAUUCUUUCACCGGGGACGAUAAUGACGGUACCCGGAGAAGAAGCCCCGGCUAACUUCGUG
rnacentral:rRNA from 1 species